ACAGUAGAGCCAUUCAGAUGGCUGGGUUCACACUAAAGUGCAAGAAGGCCCGAGAGUGGUUUAAGAACUAUGUGAACCCGAGAUUGGAUAGUCUAUCUUGGGAGGAGUUUGCUAAUGAGUUUGCAGGAUGGGCUUUCCCUGACAGUUCAAGGGAGCUGAAGAUGAUUGAAUUUGAGCAGUUGAGGCAGACGGAUGAGAUGAGUGUGGAUGAGUACACAGA
rnacentral:lncRNA from 1 species